UGAGGAAUAUUGGUCAAUGGGCGGGAGCCUGAACCAGCCAAGCCGCGUGAGGGAAGAAGGCCCUAUGGGUCGUAAACCUCUUUUGUCAGGGAACAAAAGCGAGUAUGUAUACUAGUCUGAGUGUACCUGAAGAAAAACGCAUCGGCUAACUCCGUGCCAGCAGCCGCGGUAAUACGGAGGAUGCGAGCGUUAUCCGGAUUUAUUGGGUUUAAAGGGUGCGUAGGCGGCGGUGCAAGUCAGCGGUAAAAGCCCGGGGCUCAACCCCGGCGAGCCGUUGAAACUGCAGUGCUAGAGAAGGCGAGAGGUACGCGGAAUGCGCAGUGUAGCGGUGAAAUGCUUAGAUAUCACGCAGAACUCCGAUUGCGAAGGCAGCAUACCGGCGCUCAACUGACGCUGAGGCACGAAAAGCGUGGGGAUCGAACAGGAUUAGAUACCC
rnacentral:rRNA from 1 species